AGAACGAACGCUGGCGGCAGGCUUAACACAUGCAAGUCGAGCGCCCCGCAAGGGGAGCGGCAGACGGGUGAGUAACGCGUGGGAAUCUACCCAUCUCUACGGAAUAACGCAUGGAAACGUGUGCUAAUACCGUAUACGUCCUUCGGGAGAAAGAUUUAUCGGAGAUGGAUGAGCCCGCGUUGGAUUAGCUA
rnacentral:rRNA from 1 species